CAUGACUCAGGUUAAGAUAUGGAAACUCGAUGCAAGAAUAAUGUGCAGCUGCACACAGAACUUCAUUAUGGAAGUGAUUUUUGAAGCAUCCUCUCACUGGCUAUUGCAAGAUGGGAAUGCUCAUGAAGACUUGAUUUCAUAUUGAUCAAGAUUUUAACAACCCUCAUUUACACAUGUGGCUGAGAAGGGGUUUGCAAGCUGAUGACCAUCACUCUCAGGACAGACUGGACCUCUUCCACUGACAGUAAAUGCAGCGUAAAGACACACCCUGGACUCACUGUGGAGGAACUCAGCUUUGUGAUGAAAGUGGAUCUUCCCAUCUGUGAUGCAACAGCUCUGAUGAGUGCAACACUUCCCUUUUUUCUACUCGACAUCCGUUUACUCAGACUCCACCGAGGGAGCAGCUCCGAUUUUUUUUUUCCUAGCUCACUUUAAAUGUUUUGGCACUAUAGCAAAAUCACAAAAAUCAUAUAAAAAUGUUCUGAGACUCCCUGA